rnacentral:rRNA from 1 species
AAAUUGAAGAGUUUGAUCAUGGCUCAGAUUGAACGCUGGCGGCAGGCCUAACACAUGCAAGUCGAACGGUAACAGGAAGAAGCUUGCUUCUUUGCUGACGAGUGGCGGACGGGUGAGUAAUGUCUGGGAAACUGCCUGAUGGAGGGGGAUAACUACUGGAAACGGUAGCUAAUACCGCAUAACGUCGCAAGACCAAAGAGGGGGACCUUCGGGCCUCUUGCCAUCGGAUGUGCCCAGAUGGGAUUAGCUAGUAGGUGGGGUAACGGCUCACCUAGGCGACGAUCCCUAGCUGGUCUGAGAGGAUGACCAGCCACACUGGAACUGAGACACGGUCCAGACUCCUACGGGAGGCAGCAGUGGGGAAUAUUGCACAAUGGGCGCAAGCCUGAUGCAGCCAUGCCGCGUGUAUGAAGAAGGCCUUCGGGUUGUAAAGUACUUUCAGCGGGGAGGAAGGGAGUAAAGUUAAUACCUUUGCUCAUUGACGUUACCCGCAGAAGAAGCACCGGCUAACUCCGUGCCAGCAGCCGCGGUAAUACGGAGGGUGCAAGCGUUAAUCGGAAUUACUGGGCGUAAAGCGCACGCAGGCGGUUUGUUAAGUCAGAUGUGAAAUCCCCGGGCUCAACCUGGGAACUGCAUCUGAUACUGGCAAGC